rnacentral:rRNA from 1 species
AGCGAACGCUGGCGGCUGGCCUAACACAUGCAAGUCGAACGAACUCUUCGGAGUUAGUGGCGGACGGGUGAGUAACACGUGGGAACGUGCCUUUUGGUUCGGAAUAACUCAGGGAAACUUGUGCUAAUACCGAAUGCGCCCUUCGGGGGAAAGAUUUAUCGCCAUUAGAGCGGCCCGCGUCUGAUUAGCUAGUUGGUGAGGUAACGGCUCACCAAGGCGACGAUCAGUAGCUGGUCUGAGAGGAUGACCAGCCACACUGGGACUGAGACACGGCCCAGACUCCUACGGGAGGCAGCAGUGGGGAAUCUUGCGCAAUGGGCGAAAGCCUGACGCAGCCAUGCCGCGUGAAUGAUGAAGGUCUUAGGAUUGUAAAAUUCUUUCACCGGGGACGAUAAUGACGGUACCCAGAGAAGAAGCCCCGGCUAACUUCGUG